UUCUGGCUGGAUGUGCUUUGAGGAAGGGCGUCCCAGACCUCUCCCCAGGGGCAGGCACGGCGCCCCAGGCCUGCAGGGGCAGCGAGGGCUCCAUCCCGGGGAGGCGCCGCUCUCCCCGCUGUAUGUUCGUUUCCAGACUGGUAACCAAGUCGUCGUCAGGUAUGUUUCACAGACAAGCAGUGCGAGGCCGGCCUGGGCCAGCCCUGCCUGCCGGGUGUGGGGGGCAGAGAGAGCGAGGGGUCCAGAGGGCGAGCCCGGGCCGGGCAGAAGUCCUCCCCCUUCAGGCUGGAGGUGAGAGCAGGACCCGGGGCUGCAUGGGGAGGGCCCCGAGGGGGCAAUCCCAGACCUGCUCUUGAGACGGUGCCAGCCAUAGUUGCUGGAAAGCCGUUGGCAUCUGGUUCAAAGCCUUACUAAAGCCAGCGCUCCGAGCAGGGAGGCCAGGUGAGAAUCUGCCCUGGGCACGCUGGACAUGCUGACCUCGACUCACGCCCGGAGAGAGGACCUGGGGCCAUACUUAUGUGGCCUGAAAUUGGUGGCUACUUAAAGUCGCCAUUAGAGGAAGACUAUCUAAAUCAUGGAGUGAUUAAUAUGAAUGCGGUGCGGUGAUUACUAGACAUGUGAGUUAACACCAAAAAAAUCCUUGCAAUGUGACCUUGAGCACAAAACACAGGCAACAAAAUCGUCCCCAAUCCUAAACAGCGAAAAGGCUGGAAGGAAAUAUAUGACUGUCAACAGUGAGUUUAUGAGUUUCUUUCCUUUUUGUCUUAAAUUUUUUUAUUUGGUAUUUUACAUAUUUUUGAUUAGGACAAAAGUUAUUAAAAAAUAAAGAGAAGGUGAAAUGCUAUUAUCACGUUGGUGUGAGGUGGGUAUCAGUGAAUUCAUCCAUCCCGUCCCACUAACAUCCUGAUCUUGCUGAGGCUAGACCUGUGCUGGGCUAAGGUCCAAGGGGGCGGUGACACUGGGUCCUGGCCCGUGGGGACCCAUGUGUAUUGGGGGCAGCUGACCAAGGACCAGGCCUUCAGCUGUGGUGAAGGGGAGCAGGUGGGGCACCUGGGGUGUAGAGAAAGCUUCUCAGAAGAAGAGGUUCCAGGAAGACCUGCCCUGGGGGCAGACCCAAGGGGCGCCAGUUGGGAGGAGGGUUUAGUUAGCUUCCUGCAAUGGAGGCCCUGGCUCGGGCUUCCGUGCACACUCUUCUGGUUCCCUGAAGGAUGCUGGUGAGCUGCUGCCCACUGUGUCCUCAAUUUUCUCCUGAGGCAGGCCAGCGGGGUCGAGUCCCCAGUGGGCAAUUUGCCAGCAAGGUCAAGACAAAGCUUUUAUGAGCCUUAUUGUCUCACAUGUGUCGUCAGAGUAGGCUCAGUGAGCUGCCCUCCCGCAGAUACUCCCGGGAGGUACGUGUCCUGCCAGGCUGGUGGGCAGCAGGUCAGAGUGGUCCGGUGGGCCGUCCUUGUGGUCCCGGGGCCUGGUGCUGGCAGAGUCCUUGGAAACAUGGGAUGAGCGGGGAGGAAGGGGCUGCGGGAUCAGGGCAGGCCUGGGGUCAGAGCUCGGCAGUGACCCUGUGUCUGGUGUCUGGGGGCAGGGCUGCUGCCGCUCUCACCCGGCCCCGGGCUCCUCAGACGAAUUUAAGGUCAACGAACAAACAGUGUCAGAGUCUUGGGCAGACAUUUGUUCCUGCCUAAGGCUGGCAUCGCUGGAAGACGCAGUAAACAUGGCUGUAACUGCGCAGGGCUGUCUCUCCCCGACCUGUGUUCCUCCCCAAGGUGGCUCCGGGUCCUGGCAGGUCCUGCGUAUGAGGAUGAAGUUACACGACCAGCAGCUUGGCCUGAGGCUGCCUGGCAGCAGGGUGGCUUCAGCGGACACUGGGCUCAGCCAGCCAUGACCCACUCUGGACAGGGCCCCGGGGCCAGCCCCCUGCCCAGCCAGACUGCAAGGCGCGUCUUGUUGUUGGUCCGUUCAUUCAUUCAUCUGUUCAUCCUUUCCCCAAGAGGAAUAUCAACACCAACGCUAGGUAAGCUGGACUCAUGGCAUUAAGUGGGGCAGGGGGUGGGGGGCACAUGGACAGACACAGGCCUUGGAGCCAAGGAGACCUGUGAUCAAGUUGCACACACGAGUGUGUGACCUCUAGAAAGCCAUCUAAGAUCUCUGAGUCUCAGUUUCCUCAACGGCAAAAUGGGGCUACCUCGUGUCAGGUGGUCGUGGGGCCCCAGGGAUACAGUAACUGUAAAGGAAGUGGCAGGUGCCAGGCCCCCACCUGGGCACUGGGAGCUCAACAAGGUGCCUUCAUGUACCAAGACACAGUGGGAAGUCGGUGCCCCAGGGCCUUGGCACAUACCGUGUCCGUGCCUGGAGCGCUCUUCUUCCUGAUACCCUGUGGUCAGCUCCUGAACUUCCUUCAGGGGUUUGCUUGGCUGUCACCUUCUCAGCGAGGCUCCCUCAACCCUGGGCACAGGCCAUCUGACGUGGAUUUGUGAGGUUCACGAAGGCGGGGCUUUGAUCUUUGUUCCCUGAGUCUCUUCUGUGCCCAGAACAGUGCCUGGCACAUGGCACCGGGUGAAGGGAUGUUGCUAAGAUACUGUGCAGUGCAAGGUCACCAGUGCGUUGCUCAUUGACCCCACGACCACGGAAACGGGGUCCAGGGUCACAGUGGAAGGGACUCUGCUGGCCUCCUGAGCCUCGGUGAGGUGCUGGGGAGAGCACGCUGGGCUUUGAAGCAGAAAGAGCUGGUUUGACCGUGUGUGUGUGUGUGUGUGUGUGUGUGUGUGUGUGUGUGUGUGUGUCUGUCUGUGUGUGUGUGUCUGUGUGUGUGUGUGUCUGUGUGUGUGUGUGUCUGUGUGUGGUGGGGAGGCCCUGUCCUAGCUGGCAAGGAGCUCCUGGUCUGAGGGGGACACAAGACCUAAACUGAGAUCCAUCCAGGAUGACAUCAGAACCAGGCCCAGGCAGGACCUCCCAGGGAAGGGAUGCCCCACGGGGACCUCAGAGGGGUGCUUGGUGGCUCCUGGGCAGGGCGCCUCACUGAGCCACCUCUGUUUGUGUCAGGGAGAACUGGGCUCCUUAAUGAUGCUGCCCUUGGGCACCCGAGCUGUUCUCCCCUGGACCUCACGGGGCACACACAGGUGGAGGAGGGCUCUGUAAAACUUCUGAGAGAGGUGGGGUGCAGCAAGGGACAAAAUCAGGACCCCUGUGCACACUCCACCCCUGACACAGAGCCCUUCCCUCCAAGAGGGGCAACAUGGCUAGGAACACAAGCCUUUCUGGGAGAGCUGGGUCUGAAUCCUGCCCCUGCUGACAUGCUUGGUGACUGUGAGCUAAUGACUGAGCUCACUAAGCCUCAGUUUCUUUAUCUGUGAAAUGGGCAGAGUGACAGUGCCUGCUGCAAGGGGCUCUGGCGUGGUGCAUUCAUCCCAAGGGACAGGGAUUGUAGGGGGUGAGAGGCCUUGAGAAGAGACCACAGCCAAGACAGGAGGGCUGUGGUCCAGGGCACAUCCAGCCACCUUCCCAGGUGAGCUAGUGAAGGAGCGGCCAGUGCCAUGUGGGCCUGGCUCCAAGCUGGGACACCAGUUCCUCCCUUCGGGGGCCCAGGCCUCUGGCAGCAGACUUCCCUCAGGUUCCUGGUCCAGGCAGGGCAGGGACGAGUUGCUGGGGUCCCAUCUGAGGUUUACUCCCAUCCUGGGCAGGAAGGGUGCAUGGAGGAGUAGAGGCAGCUGGUCCCUGUCCACAGGAUGGAGGUGUCCCUGGGCCUGUGCUGAGUAAGGCCACUCAGGGUGGACAGGGUGGCUGCCUGGAAGAAGCAUCCUGGGCUGGGCUGGCUGGGAGGGUGAGGGCAGUGGGACGUAUGGGGGAGAGUUGGGAGAUGCAGCUAGUUUUGAUGCUUCUGCGUCUGUGACCCAGUUCACGUGGCCGCGGCUUGCUCCUGCUAGACAGGAAGUUAACUAGCCAACCACACGUAGAGAAUUUUCCCGACCCGGUUCUGAAGCCGAGAGUUCGCCUGGUGCAAAGGGGUGGGUGAUUCCCCUUUUCUCAGGGGUCACCGCUGAGGGCAGUUUGUGCCUCGUUCCUGUCUCUUCGAAUCAUUACAACAAAACCUGGGUCACCCCAGUGCCGCCCCAUCUUACAGAAGAGGCAGGUGGAGGAAAAGUCAGGGGAGUCGCUGGUGAGAGAUAGAUGAGGGUCUUGCCCAGGACCGCUGUGCCCUAGGGCCACCCGCCUCAGUUCUGGGCCCCAGCAGCGCUGUUGCUUUCAGGAAGCUUGUACUUGGGUCUCUGCCCCACCCCUGCUUCCAACUUAGGUCCCUACCUAGGUCCCCAAUCUCUCUGCCUUGUCGAAAGAGAUGAGUGCCGCAGGGAAGCAGCCCCAGGCUUGGAGGAGCCAUUUCUAAUGGGAAAACAUGCACAUUUGCCUAAAUGAAUCAAAUCCAUUUCUUUCCCAUACAUAUUUCAUGGGCUUCCUCUCUGUGUAAUUUAAUUAUCACAGUUGUUAGUGUUAAUGUCCUGGUUGGUGCAGCUCUGCUCCCCAGACCCUCGGAGCCUAAUUCGGCACAGGGCUCUGAGGAGGAACCGGGAGGGUGGACCCAUCUCUAUGGCAACAGGAUGUGAUAAUAUUUCCGGGUGAUCUAUUGCUUUAAUCUUGAGGGCUCUGAGUAUAUUGCCAGCAUUAAUAAAUAAAUCUAAAUAACACCCUGGCGAGAUUGAUACUAUUCUAUCCAUUUUACUGAUGGAUGAACAGCAGCUCUGGGGGGUUAAAUGCCUGGCCUGGGGGAGAGGUGAGAAAGAUAGGGAUUGUGGAAAUGCCUGCUGGGUGCUGCCCUGGCUCCUGCGAGGCCCUGACAUCCCGGCUGGAGGGGCUGGGUCAGGGGCCACAGAAGCCUCCGAGACCCAGUGGGAUGGUGACGGCCAAGCGUGUUCUGGAUGUACAAUCCAUUCCUCUUUGCAACCGGGUGGGAGCAGGGCAGCAGGAAGGACCCUCGGGCCCUCAACGUUGCUCCUCUGUUUUCUAAGUCCAGACAGUCCACCCAGAGAGCAUCCAUCCUUUGGCCUUUGUAUGUUCAGCAGUACAUUUCUUGGAAGAAAUAACCUUUAAUCCAAUACCAGUCUAGGUACCCCGUAGUGAGAGCUACCAGGAUGAUUUCUCCGAUUCAGGGCUGAACGCACACACCUUAUUCAGAGGAGACCGCCCCUCCCCUUGGCUGUCCUGGGGCUUCCUUCCACUCGAGGAGCUGGUCCUUUCCCUAAGGGCACCACGUGCUUCCUGGCCUGGCCGCAGAGUGUCACAGCUGCACCCCGGCCCCUGCGGCCCGGUGGUGGCUUGCCCGGCCUGUCUGUUCAGGUGAGAACGGACAGGCCGGGCAAGCCGCCAUCGGGCCGCAGGGGCCAGAGUUACCCUGCGCUCACACUCGUGCCUGCCCUGGGGGGCUGGGUCCCGGCACUGCUCGGUUGUGAGUCCUCUCCUCUCCCUGCGGUGAGGUCCUCACCUCUGUCUGCACGUGGGCCAGAGUAGCUGCUCCGCCUCCAGCCUCACCCCGCUUGCCAGCACAGCCCCCGCACAGGUCCUGGGUCGAGUUUGUUAAGCAGCUUCCUUCCUCCUUCUAGGUGAGGACCCUUUUGAGGGUCCUUCUGUGAACCUUAGUCAGGCCCACCCAGUCCACCAGAGGGGGCCUAAUAACGUGGGGCCAAAGGACAAGGGGUCUGCAGGCCUGUCCCUUUCAUGAAGGUGCCUCCUUUGCUCCUGGUCAGAUUGACUGGUCCCCCGUCUCUGGGACCAGCUAUGUCCACGCAGGAGACUUAAGUGCAGCAUUAGGUCCAAGUGUGCCUCAUUUGGCCGUGAGGUCAGAUCAUCUCAGACCGAGGUCAUUUUAGACUGUUUCAGGUCUUUCUGCGAAAGGAGGUCAGUUCCAGGAUGCUGUGCUGACGGCUUCUCUGGCUGAAACAGGAGUGUGGCCUCCUUGGUCUCCUGGUCCCGCCUUGCAUUUUCUCCCUCCCGCACUCUCUGUGAACCCCUGGUCUCCCCUGUCAGUGUGGGAGCUGAGCGCCGUGCCUGUGGAGCGGAUGCGUUUCGGGGGAGUCUCUCCAGUCCACACCACCUUGCUCCGCACCCGCCUCCCUGGCCACGGCUGAUGGGAGCAGGUGUGAGCACCUGCCUCAAGCUGAUCCAAUCACAUUCUCCCUCCCAGUCACUGGGGAUUGGGCCUCAGACAACUGAGAUUGUACCUGAACCGCGAAUGAAGGAGGCAGCUGGCCUGCGGCGGCUGCCUUUGGCCCACGUGCCAAUGGAAGGGGAGGAUGCUGGCAGGGAGUGGGAGGGGGAGAGAGCAGACAGGGGAGGAGAGAGGAAGAGAAGAGAAGGGCAGACAAGGAAACCAAGAAGGGCAGGAACAGCAAGAAGGAGAGACAAGGCAGCCCCUGCGGGACGGAGGAGGGAACCCUGAAGACUUCCCUGCUUGGUCUGCUUCCCUGGAGGCUCAGCUGUCAGCCCUGCCCCGAGCUCUGGGAACAGCUUUUUCCUCAUUCUGCUUAGUGGCAGGCCCUGCCCAUUCCGGAUAAAGGCCUGUCUUCAGAGAUCUUAGAAUAUAUUGCCUGGCAAGAGUAUUUCUGCAUGCCUGAGGCCUCGUGCCAUGAUGGACCAGUUUGACCGGAUACGUUUAUCCUGACAGUGUGAUUUCUGGCAAAUGCCUGUGUUUUCUCUGGGGCUGGGUGGGCGCUGCAGGCUUUCGUGACUGAGCUCCAGUAAAAACUCUGGCCACCGUGGCUCGGGGGACAGUCCCUGGUUGGGAACGCUUUGCACCUGUUUCCACAUUGUUAGGGGAAUUAAGUGUGUCCCCAUGUGACUCUGUCGGGAGGGACCCCCAGAAGCUUGUGCCUGGUGUCUCCUGAGCUUCUCCCAGGUGCCUUUCUCCUCUGCUGACUUUCAUCUGCAUCCUUUCCCCAUCACAAACCGUACCUGUGAGUAUAACAGCUUUUUCUGUGUGGUGUGAGUCCAUCCAGUGAACUGUCCGGCCUGAGGAUGGUCCUGGGGACGCCUGACACAGGGGUUUAAUGUGGCUUAUGCAUACUUCUCUCCCUUGGAAACAAAAGAGCCUUGUCUGAGGCAACUUGGAAUGACAAAGACGUGGCAGAAGGGGGCCCAGCAGAAAAUAGCACACCUGACCUGAGUGCCUGUGGAGGGAACCAGUGAACAUAAAGAGAGAGCAACCACAGGGGCUGCAACCACCCAGGCCUGAGGGAUGGGGGGUGCUCAGGCAUGACCUCGAGCCGGAGAAAGCCCUGGCUGGAGGAAGCAGCCGCUCACGGGGGCAGUGGCUUUAGGCAGAGGACGUGGCCCUGCUCGCUGUGGCCUGCCGGGGAGACAGCCAGGUUCUGACCUGUCUUCUUCUGCCUCUAGGUUCCCGCAGGGGCCUCGUGUUGGCUAGACCCAGCAGGAAGCUCCAGGGCAGGUGAUGCUGGGGAGGAGCGAGGCCCCGCGGCCGGGCCUGAUGCAGGGGUGUCCCCUGGGGAACGCUGUGGAGGCUGAGGCUCGGGGUGUCGAGGGCUCUGCCCUGUACCUGCAGCUUGGCACAGCUGCAGAGCCGCCGUGGACCCAGGAGAGGCGACGAGCUCCGGGUGGAGCUAGAGCGGCGUGGAGGUCCCAGUUCCUCGGAGGGGCUCAGGAAGAAGGAGGAGGCAAGCAGGGCGGACCUGUCGGUAGGGGGCGGGGUGGGAGGGGAGGCUCAGGUGGCCAGGCUGCUCCUGAGGGUGGCGUCCAGCUACGGAGCUCCAGGCCUCUGUGUGCUGCCCACAGGCGCGGGGAGAGGCAGGGUGGGCUGCCAGCAUCUCCCAGCGGGGUCACCUGCCUGCCAGCACCCAGACUCCCCCCAGCUGCAGGAUGCUCAGGGCUGGUGCUGUGCUGGGACUGGGCAGGCCCAGGUGUAAAGCAUGGCUGGCAAAGGACUUGCUAAUUAAUUUGUUAAUUAACGAAUGCCCUUCUUCUUCCCACAGAGGGUUCAAGGCGAUUCACAAGAACUCAUACAAUACAGUAAUUACAAAACAGAGACAGAAUCAUUGCCCAGGGAAAAGGCUGAAUGUACUUAAAACGAAAUAAAAGAAGAAAGGAAGAUGGAACAGUAAAUCCAUGAAAAGUGAGCAGGCAAAUUAGCAGCUGAUUUAGGACCUGUGUCAUUUCUGCAAGCUGAGAGCUGAGUUCCAACGUGGCUCUGAGCUCCCUGGCAGGUGGAGCCUGGGGAGACACAAAGUGCUUAUUUUCAGCAGGGUGUGCAUCCAGGAUUCCCACCAGCUACACAUUUCCCAGCGUGGAAUCCAGGGAAAAAAUGUGCCCUCGCCUUUGUACAUAUCUGGGAAGGCGCAGCGGACCCUGGCUUGUUAGGUGGGUGGCCGGGAAGGGAGUGAGAAAGGAGGGGCUUCUUCCCUGGAGCAGCGGGGCUUCUGUGCUGCAGGCUUAGGUGAGACCUCAGGCCGCAGCAGGCUUCAGGGCAGAGGAUCGGACUAAGCCCGGCUGGUCAGAUGGCCAGAGGCCAGGGUGGGGCUUUGGCAGACACCUCUGUCCAGCACACAUGGUCACUGGCCUGGUUUGGUCAGCGCCGGCCAGCAUCCUCUUCUGAACGCUCCAUCCUUCUAACUAUGGUACAUGUGUAACUUGGAUAAAAAUAAAAACCAAUCACUGCACCCAA